rnacentral:rRNA from 1 species
CUAUAUAGUGUAAAUACCCUGAAAGCACUAGAUCCUAUCUGAUCUUCAAAUGUAAGCAGAGUCAGGGCUAGUUAGCACUUGAAAGGGAGACCACCAGGGAAUACCAGCUGCUAUAGGCU